rnacentral:rRNA from 1 species
GAUGAACGCUGACAGAAUGCUUAACACCUGCAAGUCUAUGAGAAGAUCUACUUCGGUAGAAGGUAUCAUGGCGGACGGGUGAGUAACGCGUAAAGAACUUGCCUCUUAGACUGGGAUAACAGAUGGAAACGUCUGAUAAGACUAGAUAUAAUAGCGACAUGGCAUCAUGUUGUUAUGAAAGGUAACACUAAGAGAGAGCUUUGCGUCCUAUUAGUUAGUUGGUGAGGUAAUGGCUCACCAAGACGAUGAUAGGUAGCCGGCCUGAGAGGGUGAACGGCCACAAGGGGACUGAGAUACGGCCCUUACUCUUACGGGAGGCAGCAGUGGGGAAUAUUGGACAAUGGAGGAACUCUGAUCCAGCAAUUCUGUGUGCACGAUGGAAGGUUUUCGGAUCGUAAAGUGCUUUCAGUAGGGAAGAAGAAAGUGACGGUACCUACAGAAGAAGCGACGGACUAAAUCGUGCCAGCAGCCGACGGUAAACUUAGUCUACGCG